CUUCUGUGAUGAAUCCUACUAUUCAGUUCUGCUUCCGAAAGAGAGCAAUCUCUUGUGGACAACCUCAUACCAAAACUCUCAAUUCUGACCU
rnacentral:snoRNA from 1 species